GAUGAACGCUGGCGGCGUGCCUAAUACAUGCAAGUCGAGCGAACGGACGAGAAGCUUGCUUCUCUGAUGUUAGCGGCGGACGGGUGAGUAACACGUGGAUAACCUACCUAUAAGACUGGGAUAACUUCGGGACACCGGAGCUAAUACCGGAUAAUAUUUUGAACCGCAUGGUUCAAAAGUGAAAGACGGUCUUGCUGUCACUUAUAGAUGGAUCCGCGCUGCAUUAGCUAGUUGGUAAGGUAACGGCUUACCAAGGCAACGAUGCAUAGACGACCUGAGAGGGUGAUCGGCCACACUGGAACUGAGACACGGUCCAGACUCCUACGGGAGGCAGCAGUAGGGAAUCUUCCGCAAUGGGCGAAAGCCUGACGGAGCAACGCCGCGUGAGUGAUGAAGGUCUUCGGAUCGGAAAACUCUGUUAUUAGGGAAGAACAUAUGUGUAAGUAACUGUGCACAUCUUGACGGUACCUAAUCAGAAAGCCACGGCUAACUACGUG
rnacentral:rRNA from 1 species